GGGAAUUUACAUCAAGAGGGCAAAGGCCAAAGAGGACACGCCUUCUUGUAUGCUAGUCAACUACCAUUUUAAUUGCUAUAGGUCGCUCUCUUGUAAGAAGUCCUUCCUAUAUCGAUGCCUUCUUUCCUUUUGGGUUAAUGCAAAUACCCUGACCACUUUUGAUUUUGAUUAUUAUUUGUUUUGGCGAGUUGCUACAAGUUUUGUCCUAUAUAGGUUAGAG
rnacentral:lncRNA from 1 species